rnacentral:lncRNA from 10 species
CGGCGGUACCACAAAGUCAGCCACCUGGAUCCUCACACCUUCUGCCUCCCUGACCAGGGAGAAGGAGGCUGCCCACAGGGCCCUGGGGCCGCUUGCCUUCCACUUUUCAUUCAACAAACGUCAUUAGCUUCUGACCCUGUGCCAGGCACCAAGCCAGGCUCAAAAUGUAGAUGAGGAAAGACAGAGCCCAGGUACUUCCUGCUCUCAGGGUUUCACCCUCUAGAAGGGGAGGCAGACGCUUAGCCAGGUUGCAGUGAGUGGGUCAGGGAAGGCUUCCUGGAAGAGGUGCCGUUUGACUGAGACCUGAACUGUGAACAUGAGUUAGCCAGGGGCAAAGCACAGGGGAAGAGUGUUGCAGCCUGGGACCCCCCAGUUAGAAAGGCUGCCUGAGCAGGAGCUAAGCACCAGUUAGUCAUUCUCUCCUGGCGGAGGGCCUACUGUGUGUCCCGGGCUGCAAGUGAACAACAGGACAAAACGCCCUGGCCUCGCGGAGCUGAUCCUGCCCUGCCCUGUAACUCGGGUGUCUCCGCGGGCCGAGCCUGGCACACAAUGAGAGCAGUGAGGCACAGAGAAGGUGACCGCCUGAGGUAUCUCGGUUGGUAAGCAGCAGCGCUGGGCUUGGAAUCCGGUUUGAACCUGCAGCAUGUGACCCGCUGUUCUCUGAAUGCUGCUGCUACACGAGGUUAUUCUGCUGCUAUGGAGCAGGCUGCUUGUAGCUGGGCCUGAAGCUGGCAUUUCCAGGACUUGGUGCUUCUGCUGAGGUUUUCUCCUCCUCUGAAUACACCCUGCCGGGGUUCAGCACCAGCUUUGCCCUAAGCACGUCCACUUCCUAGAAAGGGAGGGCAGCCCCCGACAGGGAGAGGUGUUUUGGUAUCUUGGCAAGGCAGUCAGGGCAGAGGGAGAAACAUGGGCAACAAAAGGCUUGCAGAUUCUUUCAUCUUUGUACUUUGUCCCGGGGAGAUAAGCGAGUCCAAAAUACAAAACACCCUUGGAUAUGUGGAUCCGUGCCACAAGUCAGGCUCGUAGAUUCUCCAUUUCCUGCCUGCUCUUGAGAGCUCUUGAGGAAGAGAGAAAAAGGGUGUGAGGGCUGUGGAGUAGGUCUCCCUAAAUUCCAUGCCCAUGAGCCGGUCCCCGUGGGCCUGGGGGCUCAGACAAAAGCCUUAUCACGAAGCAGAGAAGGAUCUCUUUGUUUAGAAAGAUUCCUCCCACCAUGCGUUAGGCAGCAUCCUUAGGACAAAGCCAGAAAAAUAAACUGAAUCCAGGCUUGCCUGAGCCCUUACUGCCCCCAAUGUGACAUUUUU